CCUAGAAUUAAUCUAAGGUGUAACCUGCCCAAUGAUUUUUAAAUUAAUAAAUAUAAUCAUUUUUAAGAAAAUUUAAAGGACGCAGUAACCUGACUGUGAUAAUGUAGCAUAAUCAUUCGCCAUUUAAUUGAUGGAUAGUAUGAAUGGUUGAACGAAUUCUUCACUGUCUCAGGAAGAGACUCUAUGAAAUUAAAGUAAUAGUUAAGAUGCUAUUUAAAAUUGUAAGACGAAAAGACCCUAUAGAGCUUAACUACAAUCUCCUUUUAAACAUUAUAAUAAAUAAACAAGGAGAGAGGUAGUUUAGUUGGGGCGACUAUCUUUUAAAAAGAACGAAGAUAAGCAAUAUUAAUAAAAAAUUUAUUGUAUAACUAAUAAGUUUAACAAUUAUUAAAGUAGGCUAUAAUGACCCGUUAUAAAUAAGUGAAUAAUAUAACGAUCAAUAAAUAAAAGCUACCUUAGGGAUAACAGGAUAAUUUUGUUCUAGAGAUCUUAUCGAAAACAAAGUUUGUCACCUCUAUGUUGAAUUAAGAUAUCCUAAUAGCGCAAAAUUUAUUAAGGGUAGGUCUGUUCGACCUUUAAAAU
rnacentral:rRNA from 1 species